rnacentral:rRNA from 1 species
GACGAACGCUUGCGGCGUGCUUAACACAUGCAAGUCGAACGGAAAGGCCCUGCUUUUGUGGGGUGCUCGAGUGGCGAACGGGUGAGUAACACGUGAGUAACCUGCCCUUGACUUUGGGAUAACUUCAGGAAACUGGGGCUAAUACCGGAUAGGAGCUCCUGCUGCAUGGUGGGGGUUGGAAAGUUUCGGCGGUUGGGGAUGGACUCGCGGCUUAUCAGCUUGUUGGUGGGGUAGUGGCUUACCAAGGCUUUGACGGGUAGCCGGCCUGAGAGGGUGACCGGCCACAUUGGGACUGAGAUACGGCCCAGACUCCUACGGGAGGCAGCAGUGGGGAAUAUUGCACAAUGGGCGGAAGCCUGAUGCAGCAACGCCGCGUGCGGGAUGACGGCCUUCGGGUUGUAAACCGCUUUCGCCUGUGACGAAGCGUGAGUGACGGUAAUGGGUAAAGAAGCACCGGCUAACUACGUGCCAGCAGCCGCGGUGAUACGUAGGGUGCGAGCGUUGUCCGGAUUUAUUGGGCGUAAAGGGCUCGUAGGUGGUUGAUCGCGUCGGAAGUGUAAUCUUGGGGCUUAACCCUGAGCGUGCUUUCGAUACGGGUUGACUUGAGGAAGGUAGGGGAGAAUGGAAUUCCUGGUGGAGCGGUGGAAUGCGCAGAUAUCAGGAGGAACACCAGUGGCGAAGGCGGUUCUCUGGGCCUUUCCUGACGCUGAGGAGCGAAAGCGUGGGGAGCGAACAGGCUUAGAUACCCUGGUAGUCCACGCUGUAAACGGUGGGUACUAGGUGUGGGGUCCAUUCCACGGGUUCCGUGCCGUAGCUAACGCUUUAAGUACCCCGCCUGGGGAGUACGGCCGCAAGGCUAAAACUCAAAGGAAUUGACGGGGCCCCGCACAAGCGGCGGAGCAUGCGGAUUAAUUCGAUGCAACGCGUAGAACCUUACCUGGGUUUGACAUGGAUCGGGAGUGCUCAGAGAUGGGUGUGCCUCUUUUGGGGUCGGUUCACAGGUGGUGCAUGGCUGUCGUCAGCUCGUGUCGUGAGAUGUUGGGUUAAGUCCCGCAACGAACGCAACCCUUGUUCACUGUUGCCAGCACGUUAUGGUGGGGACUCAGUGGAGACCGCCGGGGUCAACUCGGAGGAAGGUGGGGAUGACGUCAAGUCAUCAUGCCCCUUAUGUCCAGGGCUUCACGCAUGCUACAAUGGCUGGUACAGAGAGUGGCGAGCCUGUGAGGGUGAGCGAAUCUCGGAAAGCCGGUCUCAGUUCGGAUUGGGGUCUGCAACUCGACCUCAUGAAGUCGGAGUCGCUAGUAAUCGCAGAUCAGCAACGCUGCGGUGAAUACGUUCCCGGG